rnacentral:rRNA from 1 species
UACGUAGGGCGCAAGCGUUGUCCGGAAUUAUUGGGCGUAAAGAGCUCGUAGGCGGCUUGUCACGUCGGGUGUGAAAGCCCGGGGCUUAACCCCGGGUCUGCAUUCGAUACGGGCAGACUAGAGUGCGGUAGGGGAGAAUGGAAUUCCUGGUGUAGCGGUGAAAUGCGCAGAUAUCAGGAGGAACACCGGUGGCGAAGGCGGUUCUCUGGGCAUGAUCUGACGCUGAGGAGCGAAAGUGUGGGGAGCGAACAGG